UGGGGCAAAUUCCCGUUUUACCACGAAAAAUAGGCUUUGCUUUCUACUUUGCUGACCGCCGUCACUCCCUCUUUGCUCCGCCGCCGUCUUUCUGGUUCUCAGGCGCUGCUAUUGUAUACUUUCACUCAUUUGCAGCUGAUUCCACCGCCAGUUUUAUUAAAGAUGAAGAAAGGAUUGCACCCUCAGAUGCAAUGGAUAUCUUAUGUGACCCCAAGUGGUCGUUUGAUUAACUUCAUGAUGAAAAAAAUACACAGUGUGGGUAAAGUUUAUCACUUGAGGGCUAAACGUCAAUUAGCUGCAACCGAAGGACAGAUUGCUAAGCUCAAUCGUCGCUACGGGCUGGAGAAGCCGGAUGACACUGACCACUCAGAAAAAUGAAAAAUGAAUUAUGGUUGUUGCUAAUGCAAUGUUGGGUAUUUGCAGUUCAAUUUAAGCACCUAUGUUGUUGAAUAACAUGAGUGUCGAUAGUUAAUCGAAUGUCAUUUGAUCUUCUUGAUAAGAUAGUGUUUCAAUUGUGGUUUGGCGAUCUUUCAUUCAGUGUGUUGCUGCUUUAAUAUAGCUUAUAAGAGUUCUUCACUUCUCGGAGUUUCAUUCCUUCUUUCCCAUGA